AUGGAGGUUCCUCCCCUCCCCUUUUCUGCUGCGGGCUGGGCUUCUCGUCAGAGGACGGGAGAAGCGAAGGAAGAAGAAUUAUUGGAGAGGGAAGGGAGGGAUCAAGGCGACACCUCUGCCUCUCGAGCGUGGCGGCGGCUGAACAGAGCGAGGAAGUUGGGGCAGAGCCUCCAUGAGCAUAAGAGACUGAGUGGGGAAGAACAGAGCGUGCGCGAGCCUGUCGAGGCAAGAGGCCCCCUGGGGUCUUUUAACAUCUGGCGCCCAAUGGACAAGGGUGUACCGCCGCAGGGCGUCGCCGUCACAUCCAUCCAGGUCCGACGUGACAUUGUGGUUGACUUUGGGCAGCCGGCCGCGGGCGCGAGCCGGAGCAGCAGGCCCGGGCAGGCAGGCACCCUGUCAGGCUCGCCAUCUUGGGACUACCCGGGGGGUCAUCCCCCCGACAUGGAUCUUGUUGCAAUUCACACAUUUGGGGAGAUCCGGUGGCUCAUUUUCAUCAGUUGGAUGGCCCAGGAGGCGGCUGAUGUGUUUAUAAAUCGCGUGGAAGCUAAUGAAACCUGUUGGUGGGACUGGGGAGCUGAACCCUCGGAUGCCGUCGAUCGGGUCCUCUGGCCGCACGCCUUUGGGGUUCCUGACCGGACCGGGGCUCAGCUUCAGCUGGCUUCCAGAGGCACGCAGUCAGUCAGUCAUCAGAGAAGACCGGGCUGGCCGGGGUUUGGCCUGUGUGUUUUCCUAGCUGGCAACAGCAAGAAGACCGAAUUGGGCGGGACACGUCAAGAGUCCACCAUGGCAAUGCCACCCGGCCACGCUCUUUUUUCCUCCCCCUCCUCCUCAAAGCCCAUCGCCACAUCAUACGCACAGCAUUUCGUCACCAGCUCACAAAUGAUGGAGCAGGUGAUGCAUCCGGUGGGGCUAUUUGAGUACGUUCAUUCUCCCCCAUGUUUUAGAUCUGCUCUGCUUGAGGAGGUGGGUGAGAGUUUUGUGCCUGGCCCUCAAGUUGGGAUUGGUGGUGCGCUGGCGGAGACGGUCGUGUCGCAGCAGCAUCAGCCUGCCAUGCCACAGCAGCACGUGCCGGCGGCAAACGGAGAAGCGCAGAUCUGGUCGACCAAGGAGGACGGAGCGGCAAGAAGGGAGAGCUCUCCUCCGACGCUGAGAAUUGGUGCUACUGCACCAAGCAGAGCACCGUGCCUGACUCGAGUCAGUGCGUUUGAGAAAGCUGUUAGGUGUUUUGCAAAGAAGCCGUCUGAAAAUGUGAUCACGCCCAUUCUUGGCACUACAUUCGACUCGUCGGGUGAGGCCUACGACUUCUACAAUCUGUAUUCAUGGGAAAGGGGGAGACUGUUGAUGGGGCCGAACCUUGCAGUGGAGAGGCAUGCCAGCAAAAUAUACACUAGGGCUAUAUUUGAGCAAUUUGAACACAUACUGUACGAGUGCGGGGCUUAUCAGGUUGAAGAAGUUGAAAAACAUAAGACAUACAUCGUGAUCCAUAGUGAAGCAGAGAAAAGGGAGAAGUGGUCAAAAAUUUUGUACAAGGUGCUAGAUUUUAUUGGAGCUAAAGAAAUACCAGCAAAGCAUGUAGUGAAGAGAUGGAUGAGGGAUGCUCAAGUUAGUGAUGGUCUUGGCCUCGAGGAUACACUUGCAGACAGGGGCGCUAUGGUGUGUCAGACACCUGUGGCAGUGGUUGCAGCGGAACAGCAGAUGAAUGUCCAGCAAGCUGUUGCUGAAUAUGUUGAUAAUGAUUCUGUCUCAAUGACAAGCAAUAGGUUGGAAGAAGAUGGGACGGCCUACGACCAGUUGGGAGAAAGCUCCAUAUGA
rnacentral:rRNA from 1 species